rnacentral:rRNA from 1 species
AGAGCCCAAACCAAGAAGCUUGCUUCUUGGGGUUGUAGGACACUCUAUACGGAGUUACAAAAGAAAGUUAUAAAUGAAGCGGUCUGGAAAGGCCCGCCAAAGACGGUAACAGCCCGGUAGUUGAAAUAGCUUUCCCUCCAGAGUGGAUCCUGAGUACGGCGGAACACGUGAAAUUCCGUCGGAAUCCGGGAGGACCAUCUCCCAAGGCUAAAUACUCCCUAGUGACCGAUAGUGAACCAGUACCGUGAGGGAAAGGUGAAAAGCACCCCGGAAGGGGAGUGAAACAGUUCCUGAAACCGUGUGCCUACAAGUAGUUAGAGCCCGUUAAUGGGUGAUAGCGUGCCUUUUGUAGAAUGAACCGGCGAGUUACGAUUUGUUGCAAGGUUAAGCGGAAAAAGCGGAGCCGUAGCGAAAGCGAGUCUGAAUAGGGCGCAUAAGUAACAGGUCGUAGACCCGAAACCAGGUGAUCUACCCAUGUCCAGGAUGAAGGUAAGGUAAUACUUACUGGAGGUCCGAACCCACGCACGUUGAAAAGGGCGGGGAUGAGGUGUGGGUAGCGGAGAAAUUCCAAUCGAACUUGGAGAUAGCUGGUUCUCUCCGAAAUAGCUUUAGGGCUAGCCUCGAGGUAAAGAGUCAUGGAGGUAGAGCACUGUUUGGACUAGGGGCCCUUCUCGGGUUACCGAAUUCAGAUAAACUCCGAAUGCCAUGUACUUAUACUCGGGAGUCAGACUGCGAGUGAUAAGAUCCGUAGUCGAAAGGGAAACAGCCCAGACCACCAGUUAAGGUCCCCAAAUAUAUGUUAAGUGGAAAAGGAUGUGGGGUUGCUUAGACAACCAGGAUGUUGGCUUAGAAGCAGCCACCAUUGAAAGAGUGCGUAAUAGCUCACUGGUCGAGUGACCCCGCGCCGAAAAUGUACCGGGGCUAAACAUAUUACCGAAACUGUGGAUGAACCUCUUUAGAGGUUCGUGGUAGGAGAGCGUUCUAAGGGCGGUGAAGUCAGACCGGAAGGACUGGUGGAGCGC